UACGGGAGGCAGCAGUGGGGAAUAUUGCACAAUGGGCGCAAGCCUGAUGCAGCCAUGCCGCGUGUAUGAAGAAGGCCUUCGGGUUGUAAAGUACUUUCAGUCGUGAGGAAGGUGUUAAGGUUAAUAACCUUAGCAAUUGACGUUAGCGACAGAAGAAGCACCGGCUAACUCCGUGCCAGCAGCCGCGGUAAUACGGAGGGUGCGAGCGUUAAUCGGAAUUACUGGGCGUAAAGGGCACGCAGGCGGUUAAUUAAGUUGGAUGUGAAAUCCCCCGGGCUUAACCUGGGAAUGGCAUUCAAGACUGGUUAGCUAGAGUCUUGUAGAGGGGGUAGAAUUCCAUGUGUAGCGGUGAAAUGCGUAGAGAUGUGGAGGAAUACCGGGUGGCGAAGGCGGCCCCUGGACAAAGACUGACGCUCAUGUGCGAAAGCGUGGGGAGCAAACAGGAUUAGAUACC
rnacentral:rRNA from 1 species